rnacentral:lncRNA from 1 species
GCUUGUUAGAAAAUAAGGAUACCAAGCAUGAUCAAUACGAGAAGUUACUUGAAUGUCUACUCAUUCGUCAAUGACUUUCUCGAUGCUGUAGUGGUGUGACUAAUUUUUUGAUCUAUGAUGCCUCGACUAUUCACAAUGAGGUUGCUGUAGUUUAACUGUACAUACACUUGGUCCUUAGCCAUAUGGGCCCUUGCUGUGCAUGAUGGCUAUAGUAGGUUCGUUGUAAGAAUAGGAUAUGCAUUUAGAUAGAAUCUAUCGAUCUUGAUAGAUAAAAAGUAGUCCUAUGUGAUUUAUGAAAUUGAGUUCUAAAGAUCACGAUCAUAACCGUGUGAAUAAUAGAAAAGCAUUUCUAUAAGAUUUUACAGUAUGGACUCGAGUUGUAUAAAUCUGAUAUAUGAUAGAUGAUGGGAUUUGAUGAGAUUUUCACAAUCUCUAUCUUGUCAGAACUCACGAUAAAAGAACUGUAUCACA